GACGAACGCUGGCGGCGUGGAUUAGGCAUGCAAGUCGAACGGUAUCAUCCUUUCGGGGGUGAGAGAGUGGCGAACUGGUGAGUAACACGUAGGUUAUCUACCCUCAAGACGGGGACAACCCAGGGAAACUUGGGCUAAUACCGGAUGUGAGCAACUUUUAGUUGUUUGAAAGGUGGCGUAAGCUGUCGCUUGGGGAUGAGCCUGCGUCCUAUUAGUUAGUUGGUGAGGUAACGGCUCACCUAGGCAAUGAUAGGUAGGCGGCCUUAACGGGUGGUCGCCCACACUGGGAUUGAGAUACGGCCCAGACUCCUACGGGAGGCAGCAGUCGAGAAUAGUCUACAAUGGUCGGAAGACUGAUAGUGCGACGCCGCGUGAACGAUGAAUCCCUUCGGGGUGUAAAGUUCUUUUAUAUGUGAGCAGUGCUUCUUAUAUUAACAGUAUGGGGAGAGAGAUAUUAGCAUAUGAAUAAGCAACGGCUAACCGUCGUCGCCAGCGACGCCGUAACGGU
rnacentral:rRNA from 1 species